rnacentral:lncRNA from 1 species
UUUCUUCCAAAUUGGUUUCGAUAUUACAACUAAAACUAAGCAUUCCAGAAAAUGAUGGGAAUCAAAGUGUCUUCUUAAUCAUCCUGGUCUAACAAACAGUAAUGUAAUUCACCUUAGAAUCUCAAUAGUACUUACGUGGCACAGUGUUUGGAGACAGCUGAAAUGUGCUCUCCCCGUAUGCGGACAAUAUAAAACAAGUCUGCAAGCAAAAAAGUUUUAAGUUGUAGACCUGCAGAUGAAAUACAGCGUGUUUAAGUGCAUUUACAGUUUUGCCUACAUGUUUAGUAUAGAAUCAACAGCUGGGGAGGAAAGUGUUUACCAUAUUCUGUACCUUUAUGCAGUGACAAUCCUCUAAAGCUGGCACAGCAAUUACUUUGUGGCCGACCUCCAGCCCCCCCG